rnacentral:rRNA from 1 species
CCCUUAGAUGUUCUGGGCCGCACGCGCGCUACACUGACGAAUGCAACGAGCUUAUAACCUUGGCCGAAAGGUCUGGGUAAUCUCCAAAUUUCGUCGUGAUGGGGAUAGAUUAUUGCAAUUAUUAAUCUUCAACGAGGAAUGCCUAGUAAGCGCAAGUCAUCAGCUUGCGUUGAUUACGUCCCUGCCCUUUGUACACACCGCCCGUCGCUCCUACCGAUUGGAUGAUCCGGUGAGCUAUUCGGACCUUCGCUUCGUCGAUUUUCGGCUUUGUGAGGGAAAGUCUCGCGAACCUUAUCAUCUAGAGGAAGGAGAAGUCGUAACA